rnacentral:rRNA from 1 species
ACUCAAAGGAAUUGACGGGGACCCGCACAAGCGGUGGAGCAUGUGGUUUAAUUCGACGCAACGCGAGGAACCUUACCAGAUCUUGACAUCCUCAGAAUCGAACAGAAGUGUUUGAGUGCCUUCGGGAACUGAGAGACAGGUGGUGCAUGGCUGUCGACAGCUCGUGUCGUGAGAUGUUGGGUUAAGUCCCGCAACGAGCGCAACCCCUAUCGUUAGUUACCAUCAUUAAGUUGGGGACUCUAGCGAGACUGCCUGCGAAGAGCAGGAGGAAGGUGGGGAUGACGUCAAGUCAUCAUGCCCCUUAUGAUCUGGGCUACACACGUGCUACAAUGGAUGGUACAAAGAGGAGCGAAAUGGUGACAUGGAGCAAAUCUCAAAAGCCAUUCCCAGUUCGGAUUGAAGUCUGCAACUCGACUUCAUGAAGUUGGAAUCGCUAGUAAUCGCAAAUCAGCAAUGUUGCGGUGAAUACGUUCUCGGGUCUUGUACACACCGCCCGU